CUUAACCCAAACAAAAUAACACUAAACCGCACACACACACUGUACUUAUAUAUGUUGAACACUAUUUACUGUCUCCUCUACACCUUGCAAUGCAUCUGUUUAUCCUCCAAGGUUCACUGUAUCUUAUUAGGCCAACCACACAUCUGUCACUCAGUCCAUAUGUAAUCUAGUUGUAACAUCUCCCAAGUAUACCUAACCAAACCUAACCUUCCUCUCUCAGGUUAGCUUUAGGAUGUUUAAUCAUCAGGUAAAAUAAACUCAGGAAUAGUGUUAAUCUUCAAAUGAUCGCAUAUACUGUAUAUUUGUCUGGUGUUGAUCAAUAGCGGAAGUUAGUGGAGUGUGGCCUUGUGUCAGAUUUUUACCUCCUUCAAGGUUACCGUGACGUGUGGAGGAGUUCCCUGCGUUGUUUUUAUAUCGGAAUGUUUCCGUCUGAACCUGCGUCAUGGAAAAUAAAUACCAAAAGAGAGAAAGAGAGAGAGAUUAUACAUUUAUGGCCGUGGUAUUGAUGUGAUAUGUGAUAAUAUGGUUGGUACAUAUGCGCCAUUAGUCACCAACAAUUAAAAAUUAAAUGGUUGUGUUUUCUCGAUAUAACUGGUUGGAUGGAAGGUGUUACUGUAUUUCAUUACAUUCUGAUUUCAUUAUCCGAGACUGUAAUUCCUUCUAUACAACUUAUGAAAUGGCUGUAUCGCCACAAGGAUCUGGUAACCAUGGUGAUGUAUUUCAGACUGCGUUGAUUCUACGAAUGACAGUAAACUUGUUCGAGCCAGUACCAGUUAACACACACACACACACAGCCGAUCCACUCAGUUUCAUAUUAAAGAGUACCGCCACCUCUCGCUGGGUCAACCUCAUUUAAGGUCAAGGUCAAGAUUGUCAUUGAUUAUUUUACCCUCAGAUUACUGGGUGUCACCGCCUGACCUUGGCUUUGUGUGUGUGUGACUGCAUUCUGUACAUUCCUUUAAGUCACACAAUUAAUUCGGGUCAUAUAUUUCCACUCUCGAGGAAACUUUAAGACGCGAGAUAAAAAUUUAGAUAGAGGUGUUUAUUUUCUUAAUAUCAAUGAACGUAUGUACUGUAUUAAUUCUAAAAUAGCCCUGGCCAAGUUGAGGGAAAAGGUUGUGGGGUCUUGUUCAGGUGGGGUUUAAUAUAGUAAUUUGUGGAGGUAAACGAUGACAGGUGUGAGGAACGUGGUUUGGGGUGAUACCUGGGGACAGUGAUGCUUCAUUACUGCUGUCCAUGUAGUGCAAGGUGAUGGAGAUGGUGGUAGUAGUCAGUGUGGUGGAGGUGUAGGCACUGUGGUGGUAGAAGCAGCAGUGGCUGUAAUCACACCAACAGCAGCAGCAGGCAUUGUGGUGGAAGUGGUGCUGUGGUGGAAGGGCGUCAGUGUGUGGCCAACAGUGGUCGGGUGCAGUACGUCUGGUGAGCACCUCCACACCUCUGGCACGUGCACCGCGCGAUACAACAAACAUCUCUACUCUCUCUCACGACCACUGUACUGUACAGACCAGCGGACACCGUGUACUGUACACCCGUCUCUCUACUGACUUUACAGUGUUUGAUUGUGAUAGAAACUGAGUUUGACCUACACCAAGUCAACAGCCACAUAUACUUUCCCGGUCCACCAGUAGAAGUUACCAUCCUGCCUCACUAAUACAGGACACCAGCACAGGUGGAGCGAUGGUGUGGUGGCAUGGUGGCCCCGCAGGCUUCACUGUGGUGGCCUGCCUGGUGCUCUAUGUCCUCGACCUACCUGGGAUGGCUGAAGGGAACGCCCAACGACGCUUCCUGGAGCAGAAACUGAAGGACUAUGAUGUUAAUGUGUGGCCUGGCGGUGCCGAGAGAUAUGAUACACGGCACGGCCUCGCCAACUUCACUGUGCCUCACCUCCCGGACCUCCUCAGCACCUCCUCCUACCUGCCCUACCCC